rnacentral:rRNA from 1 species
UACAGAGGUGGCAAGCGUUGUUCGGAAUUACUGGGCGUAAAGGGCGCGUAGGCGGCCUUCUAAGUCAGACGUGAAAUCCCCCGGCUUAACCUGGGAACUGCGUCUGAUACUGGGAGGCUUGAGUAUGGGAGAGGGAUGUAGAAUUCCAGGUGUAGCGGUGAAAUGCGUAGAUAUCUGGAGGAAUACCGGUGGCGAAGGCGGCAUCCUGGACCAUAACUGACGCUGAGGCGCGAAAGCUAGGGGAGCGAACCGG